rnacentral:rRNA from 1 species
AUUGAACGCUGGCGGCAGGCUUAACACAUGCAAGUCGAGCGGAGAGAGGUAGCUUGCUACUGAUCUUAGCGGCGGACGGGUGAGUAAUGCUUAGGAAUCUGCCUAUUAGUGGGGGACAACAUCUCGAAAGGGAUGCUAAUACCGCAUACGUCCUACGGGAGAAAGCAGGGGAUCACUUGUGACCUUGCGCUAAUAGAUGAGCCUAAGUCGGAUUAGCUAGUUGGUGGGGUAAAGGCCUACCAAGGCGACGAUCUGUAGCGGGUCUGAGAGGAUGAUCCGCCACACUGGGACUGAGACACGGCCCAGACUCCUACGGGAGGCAGCAGUGGGGAGUAUUGGACAAUGGGGGGAACCCUGAUCCAGCCAUGCCGCGUGUGUGAAGAAGGCCUUAUGGUUGUAAAGCACUUUAAGCGAGGAGGAGGCUCUUUUGGUUAAUACCCAAGAUGAGUGGACGUUACUCGCAGAAUAAGCACCGGCUAACUCUGUGCCAGCCGCCGCAGUAACAC